CGUUGGUGCUCAUCGGAGCGCGACUCUGCCUGUCGCCACCCGUCAGAUCACAUGAAUGCGAGGGGUAGUUCACCAAGAGGACAUCGCAGCACCUCCAGCGACUCCGGACCCCAAACUCCAACGAGUGUGUUGCCAUUCGAGACUAAAAUGCUGAUUAUUUUGUUAUGGAAAGUGCGUUGAUUCAUUUUACGAUGAAAAACAAAAUGCAAGGUUUCAGGAAACAUGGUCAAGCUGAUGAGCACUGAUGGUCGAUUCGAUGAAAACACAGUGAGAGCAGUAUGGUCAGCAUCCUCAGCAUACAGAUUUUCGUCUCGACAUCGGUCGGGUUUUACCGAUUGGAAGAAGUCCACUCGCCGGGGUCGACUCUACUAAAAGUCCCAACGAAUCAUCCGCCUCGUUCAUCAACUAUCUACCAUAAAUGACUAGGAAACAAUGGAAGCGACUGGUACGCAAGGUGCCCACGUGCCGGACCGGGACCCCGGCACGUGGCGAUCAACGUACACAAGGAAUUCGGGAGUGAACAAAAUGAUACAUAGUACGGCAAUGUUGGGUGAUGAAGGGGUAACUAAGGCUUUGAAACGCGGGGGAGAAUUGACCGAGCGCCCCGUCAGUGCUUUCGCUCCUCGACCCCUAAGGACCACCGCAGGGAAGGCGUUCAGAAUGAAAUUGAUAUAGUUGUUGCCGUGUAAUGUCAGCCACCCAACAAACAAAAACCACUAAGGUAUUCUUGAGAUGUGUUUAUAAGCUUGACAGAAGGCGUUUGGGUUAGCAUACAGUGCACUUAGACCAGUACACAAAACAGAAACAAAAUCAAUCAAAGUUACGAAAACUCCGCUUGUGACAAAACUCAAUCAUGUUUCUGAACCCCGAAGUCAUUCACCCCCUGAGCUCAAAAGAAACAAACUUGAGAAUUCAUGCCCCGUUUUCUUCUUUCUCAAAGUGUAAUUUGUAUUCAUGAUUAUGCCGGGCACUGGUCAGAGAGUUCGCGCUGUAGUGAAGACAUUGGGAAAAUAGACGAAUGGGGUGCUUUAAAUGAAGCCAUUUCUUAUGGAUUUCGCAAGCAGAUGUGCUGUUAAUUCCCCCAGCUCUAAAACCAAUGCGUAAAAAACGAGCAGGUGACUCUCUGACAUGGGGGAUAGGGGAGAGCGACGUCCGGCGCUAGGGUCGCGAUUUAAGGGACGAGAAGCUUGGCAGAAUGUUCCUAGGGCCCGGAGUCUGAGGGAUGACCCUUAUCCCGUAAUCUCGCUGGCAUGGUGACGGAAGACUUCAAAGAUGUUUCUUUCUCGACAGAUUAUAAGCUGAUGAGUAAAAUAGGCUCAGGUUUUUGAAACAUGACAUCAAAGAAGUUGUUUAGCCAUUGGCGACAGUUUUUUAUAUAAUUGUAUUCACGCUGAGAAGUUUCAUUCAAAAACGGGGGUUUAAGGAUGGAAUCGCAGGCUUAAGAUUGGUUAAACAACUACUUGUUAAGUUUCUUACAAAAGAAUUCCUAGAAGAAGUUCUUUCUGUCAUUUUUGGCAAAUGAGCGGACAAUUUCACUUUCAUGCAUUCUUACUUCAAUAAUUUGCCUCCAAGUCACUUUAAUUACAUGUUGACGGACGGACUAUGCGACUUUGAGUUGAUUGUUCAUUUAAAGAGUAGGCGAAACGAUAUGAAGAUUCCUUCAUGAUUGUUAACUUUAGUUUUCGUUUGCGACAAGAGAUUUCGCAAAACGAGCAAGCAAAAUGGGUGCAAAUCAUGAUUCCUUUAGUUCUUUAUUGAUUAUUUGGUUGGUUCUUUAUUCCUUACUCUUUUUUUGUGGCAAUUUCUUUAUUAUUUUGCAUCUUUGUUUCAUUAAGUUUGUAAUUCUUUAUUUCUCAACUUUGUUUAUUACUUCAUUAAAUGGCUUGGCUAAGGGUAAACUUUAAUGUAGCCUGUACCCUAGUGUAACCAAUACCCCUAAUAUAGCCCCAAACUUGUACCUAAAUGUAGCCCCACCACUGAACCUUAAGUACAGGUAUGUGCUUUAGUCUGGUGCAAAAUUUGAGCUGCAUUCAAAAAUCCAGCUAAUUUAUUAUGUCAAUAUAAACACAAGGGAAACUGACUGGGUAAAUUUUGAAAUGAUUUUUGGUGUUUUACACAAAAUUGACUAGAGUGGGAUUCGAACCAAUUUUGCUCAAAAACGAAUCAGAAAUCGACGUUUAAAUUUGACGCUAAUUUGCUGAAAUUGAUGGGGGAAACUUGUAAUGUUGCUUGUUUGUUAGAUACUCGAGUUAUAAAAGGAAAACUACAUGAGUUUAGUUAUACACCAGACGUUGAGAAAAUAAAGAAUACUUGCGAUUGAUUGUCAAUGAAUACAUCUUAGUAUUAAUCUUUUAUUUCAGCCUUAUCAACAAUAUUUAAACAAUGACACAAUCUACACAAGUAAAAGAUUCGACCCCGCACAAAAUGUGCCUAAUUAAUUAGAUGCCCGUCUUUUUAGUUUCAAUCGGUUUUAUUGAUUUAUAAUAAAAUUUUGGGGAACAAAGAUUAAAGGUUUUGAGAUAAUCAUCAAAUAUUGCUUUUUGCUGAUUUAGGAUUUUAUCAAAAAUACAAAGUAAACCACAAACCUAUAAAAGUUCCCUCAAAUUUGUUUGCUUUGUUGUUUUACUAAUUGGUUUUACCGAACGAGUUUUGACGGAUGGUACAGAACCAAAGGAGAAACAUACAUGCCUAUAUUAUGCCACGGACAAUGCUCAAAUUACAGGCAACAGGCAAACAUCGUGGGAUAAUGUUUGGAUUCCAACAAUAGGUUUUUUAAUUAAUUCCAAAUUAUCAUCGUUGGAUUACUUUUUUUGUGCAACAGCUUAAUGGAUUUAACUUUCUCGAAUUUAUAAAAACAAAUUGGCUAUUUAAAUUUAAAUCAAAAUUUUCGGAUCAAAUCGACCGAACAUUUAACCCGCAGCAGAUUUCACAAAACGCUAGGAUUAAUCUUAUCUCGAGUUAGGAUGAGUGACUAGUCCUAACUUGGGAUGGGUUCAA